rnacentral:lncRNA from 1 species
AUGAAAAGGAAGAGCAACAAGUAAUCAUAUCAACAUUAAUUCUAUGGACACCUUACCUGUAUUCUUUGUGCAACUGGGUAAUCAUUUUAUAACUGAUCCAGCCCCAGGAUGACUUCCCUUUGGGCCACCUGGUUCUACACUACAAAGAUGCAGGGGACACCGGACCACCAGACCUCUGUACUGGGUAAGUUGGAGUCAUUUUCACCUCCCAUCAGGACCGGAACUAUCUUCAGGGGAAGAGCAGCUAGAACCUGGAAUACAACUCUGCAGAGUUCAACCCUAAAGGAGGACAGGGAGCUCAACUUGGGACUUGCAGCCAGAAAUCUGCCUGAAUCUCAUGGGUCUCCAACUAGCUUGCUGAGACUCAUUGACUUAUAUCUGCACACUGCAACCCGCAUUGCCUAUUGUGACAGUAGAGACCUAGCCUGAAAGAGGCCGUACAUCAUUUUUUUUUAUUCCCAAAAUUAGUAUUAUUAGUUUGUUUUUUUCUCUUUUCUUUUCUUUUUCUCCUCUUAUCUUUAAUUUUUUCCUACUCUUUGCAAAUAUUUGUUUUUCUCUCCUUUUUUUCUUUUCUUUUCUUCUUUCUUUUCUCUUUCCUUUCUCUCUCUCUUACACUCGCUGUCUUGCUCUUCCACAUUGUUCAUCUUCCCUUUUUGUCCCUGUUCUGGCCCUCAUUCAGAGUUCUUCUUUAUUUUCCUAUUAUUCUCUUUUUCCUUCUCGCCUGUGAUGUCUGGCCUCACUGUUAACCUUCCCAUAUCCUUUUACCCAUCUAUCCCUCCCUUCCCAAUCCAUUCUAACUCCCCAUCCCAAAGGGUAAAGUUGUUAUAUUGAAGAGUUUAUUCACUAUAUGUUGGGUUGCUCCUUGAUCUUGAUUUAAUUCACAGAGCUAAAGGUGACAGAUUAAUAACUACCACAAAAUGUCAUUUUCAAAGAUGUACUUGUAU